rnacentral:rRNA from 1 species
UACGGAGGGUGCAAGCGUUGCUCGGAAUUAUUGGGCGUAAAGGGUAGGUAGGUGGUCUCGUUUGUCUGGGGUGAAAGCCUUGAGCUUAACUCAAGAAGUGCCCCAGAAACGGCGAGACUAGAGUCCUAGAGAGGGUCGUGGAAUUCCCGGUGUAGCGGUGAAAUGCGUAGAGAUCGGGAGGAACACCAGAGGCGAAGGCGGCGACCUGGAUAGGUACUGACACUCAACUACGAAAGCGUGGGGAGCAAACAGG